rnacentral:rRNA from 1 species
AUUGAACGCUGGCGGCAGGCCUAACACAUGCAAGUCGAGCGAGCGGCGGACGGGUGAGUAAUGUCUGGGAAACUGCCCGAUGGAGGUGGAUAACCACUGGAAACCGUAGCUAAUACCGCAUACCCUCAGAUGUGCCCAGAUGGGAUUCGCUGGUAGGUGUGGUAACGGCUCACCUAGGCGACGAACCCUAGCUGGUCUGAGAGUAUGACCAGCCACACUGGAACUGAGACACGGUCCAGACUCCUACGGGAGGCAGCAGUGGGGAAUAUUGCACAAUGGGCGCAAGCCUGAUGCAGCCAUGCCGCGUGUGUGAAGAAGGCCUUCGGGUUGUAAAGCACUGUCAGCGGGGAGGCGUUACCCGCAGAAGAAGCACCGGCUAACUCCGUGCCAGCAGCCGCGGUAAUAC